UCUUCCUCCUUGACGCCGCCCUCGCGCCUCCCCCUGCUGCCGCCCGUGCGUGGCCGGUCCAAUCCACCACCACGCCGCACGCGGCUGCUCAGAGAGGCCGAGGCCGAGGCCGAGAUGCCGGCCUCACCGGCGUCACCGCCGCCUCCUUCCUCCCACCCCGCGCGCAACACCUCGCACUCGAUACACCCAUCCCCAUGCCUCGGCCUCGGCGCGCCUUUACCCUCCUCAUUUUCGCCCUUCGUCCCCGCGGCAGACGAAGACGGCGCAUCUCGAGCGCGGUUCGCUCUUGUCGGCGGGUGUGCCGGCGGGGACGCAGAUGGUGCUUCUGAGGAACAGGAAUGGGGCGGAGGACGCGCUGAUGGGGAUCUCCGAGCCAGCCUUGCUCCGGUUCUGCUUCGACGGUACUUCACCUUGACCUGCUGAAUGUUAUGGUGCUUGGAUCAAAUUGCGCAAUGCUUGGAAUCUGGUUGGGAUAUCUGAAGUAGUAGUAGAAUUGUUGGCUCUUUGCUGACGCCGUUGAUGCGGUAUUCGUCAACUCAGGGGACAAUCACUUCAAGCUUAUCAAGGAACCAAUCAAGACACUGUUCAAGAUCAAAGAAACUUUCAGUCAUAUAGAGAACAAGGAGACCACUGCAAACCUAGACUGCUUUGGGUGGUGCAAUUGGGACACUGUUAACCCAGUAGAGAUUAAGGCCAAAGUUUGCGUGAAGGAGGCGCACCACCAAGGUUUCUGAUCAUAGAUGCUGGUUGGCAGGAAAUAUUAACGAAUUCAAGUGGAUGAAGCUCUCCUUGAAGUGACUGUGUAUGUAUAUCAUCCUUUGCUUAUACAUAAAAAAUGUAUACUGCACUUGAUUUUCAUUGUAACAUUGUCAGGUUUGCAGAGAGGCUGGUCGAUCUGAAGGUUUGACUUAUUAUUAGGUAGAAG